AGUGAACGCUGGCGGUAGGCCUAACACGUGCAAGUCGAACGGCAGCACAGUAAGAGCUUGCUCUUACGGGUGGCGAGUGGCGGACGGGUGAGGAAUACAUCGGAAUCUACUUUUUCGUGGGGGAUAACGUAGGGAAACUUACGCUAAUACCGCAUACGACCUACGGGUGAAAGCAGGGGAUCUUCGGACCUUGCGCGAUUGAAUGAGCCGAUGUCGGAUUAGCUAGUUGGCGGGGUAAAGGCCCACCAAGGCGACGAUCCGUAGCUGGUCUGAGAGGAUGAUCAGCCACACUGGAACUGAGACACGGUCCAGACUCCCACGGGAGGCAGCAGUGGGGAAUAUUGGACAAUGGGCGCAAGCCUGAUCCAGCCAUACCGCGUGGGUGAAGAAGGCCUUCGGGUUGUAAAGCCCUUUUGUUGGGAAAGAAAAGCAGCAGGUUAAUACCCCGCUGUUCUGACGGUACCCAAAGAAUAAGCACCGGCUAACUUCGUG
rnacentral:rRNA from 1 species